UGUGCCGCCACACCCAGCCUGAGCAACUUUUGUUUUUAAGGUGUCAGCCAUCAGACCCCAAGUCUCCAGCUGUGUUGAGUUAUCUGCAGGCCCUGAUUGUGUGUGCCAAGGUGCAAAGAAAUAAAUUCUGUCAACAAUCAAGUGACUUUGGAAGAGGUUCCUGAGCCUCAGAUGAGACCCCAGCCUGGCCAACACUUUGAAGCCUUGUGAGAAUGACCAUCCAACUAAGCCUUGCCCUGACUCCUGACCCACGGAAACUGUGCGAUAAUAAAUGUAUAUUGUUUUAAGCUAUGACGUUUGGGAUAAUUUCUUACAUCAUAGACAACUAUUGCAGCCAUUUGUUAUUCUUUUAAAAAUUAAUAUGAACUAUUUCAAAUAUAUAGAAAGUAGUAAAGAAUAGUAUAAAUAGUAUCAUGUAUCCAGUAUGAAGAAAUAGGGUAUUACAAGUAAUGUUGAAAGUUGUUGUAUAGCCUUUUCUAAUUCUGCUUUCCUUAAUUCUUCCUGAGAUGCAACCCACUGUAAUGAAGGUGUUGAUUAGCAUUUAUGUGCAUUUUUAGAACAGAAAUUCGCUAUAUGUAUGUAUGUCUAAAAGCAACAUAUAAUAUCAUUUAUUUCUGUUUGAUUUCUCCUCUAUUAGAAAUAGAUUAAAAUGCUUUCAUUAUCAUUGUUUCCUGUUAAUUUUUUUUGUAUCAUCGUCCAGUUUUACAUUAUGAAUUUUAACAUUUUGUUAGUUGCUGUGACAGAGACAUUUAAUAUUACUGAAUAAGCAUGUGCGUCAUCACAUCUGUCAGCUCCCUAGCAGUUGGGUCAUGCCAUGUGACAAGUUCUGGCCAACUGGUUGGCAGUUGGCAACCAAGGAACUGUAUGUUGAGAUGAUUGAGCCACAAGUUUGAAACUGCCAGGACUUCUGAGUCACCACAUGGAAAACUGCUCGUCUGCAGAGUUAUAAAAUUUGGCUAGGACUUCAUGUGAGUGAGAAAUAAAGCCUUUGUUUGUGAAGCCAGUAUAACUUAUUAUGUAGCAUAGCCUACAAUAUUCUGUCUGAUGUAGAAAAAUACAAGUUCAUGUUAUUUUAUGCUGAUGUUAUUGUGUUCCUUUAAUAAUUUAUCCUUGUUAAACCCUUUGCCUCAUAUUUUACUUGAUAAUUUUUGAUCAUCCCAUUAUUUUCAACCUUCGUUUUAUUUAAGACUUGUAACUAGGCUAUAGCUGGGUGUAUCUUAAAAAUCAAAUCUAAUAGUUUUUUUCUUCUUUUAGGUAUUUUAAUCCAUUUACAUUUUUGGAAUUACUAAUAGAUUUACUUAGACUUGUUUCUGUGGUUUUAUUAUUAUCAAGAUUUUAGUUCCAAUUUUUAAAAAACAACCAUCAUUAGCUGUCAUUUGAUAUUAUAGUCAGUAGUUGGUACAAUUUGUUAGCUUAUUGUUAAAAAAUUGUUUUCUGUAUUUAGUGUUGUUUUAUUCCAGCCCCUUAUUUAAAAGGCUUUUCCCUCUGAGCUCAUCAUUGAUCUGGAUGAGGUGCAUACUCUUUUAACAGUGUUUAUUACAUGUGUAUGCGAAGGUCUGUAGAUAAUACGCUCCAUUAAACUCUUUUGCAUAUGAAAAUGUCUUUAUUUCGCCUUUACCUUUGAAUGAUGUGUAUAGCAUUCAGUUAUUUUUCUAAAAUGUUUUGCUGAUAUUACUUUACAAACUUCUGGUAGCUAUAAUUGCUGUGGAUAAGUCAGCUUUUAGCUGAACUGUCAUUCCUUUGUAGAUAGUCUUUAACUUAUUCUGAGGUUUUUCUUUAUCAGGAAGUUCUGAAAUUUCACUAUAAUACAUCUAUUUUUUAACAUCAUAUUUGAAUUUAAUUUUUGAUCUGGGAGUUUCAGUUUUUAAUUCUUGAAUAUUCUUAAUCAUUGCCUCUUCACCAUUCCUUCCGUUUUUUUUUUUUUUUUUCUGAACCUCUCACUAAACACACCUGAGGUCACUCUCAAAUCUGUUUUUCUUGUUCCUUGUUUGCUCUUUAUUUUCAUUAUCUUUCCAAGUUCUGGGUGAAUUCCCCACUACUAAUUGUCUCUUUGUCUGAGUUUAUUUUUAAGUUUGAUUGCAUUUUUUAUUUCAAUGACUAUAUUUCAACUUUGAAAGCAUUUAAUUAAUUCUUUUUCAUAUCUAUUUGGUUGUUUCAGCUGUAUCUUAUUUUGUUUUAUAAUUUGUUAUUUUUGUAUGAGAUUAUUUCUGUGUUAAUCUCUGUGAAUGCAUUGUUUCAC
rnacentral:lncRNA from 1 species